AUUAAAUUGGGUUUACCCGAUUCUAUUGGACUUGUUUGUUUCCUGUUCGGAAAAUUCUAUAUCAAUUCGUCUUCAAGCUUUUGUAAUUAUAUGAUGUCUGCUAACUCCCAACCGUACGCUAUUUUUUAAGAAUUGUUUUGCCCGCUCAAAAUUGUUGGAUUGGCAAAUCAUUACUUUCUUGGGUUAUUUAGUUUCUAUUGGGCUAGUCGUUUAGGGUUUGCAAAAAUUAGGGUUUUCAAUCUAUAACAUGUCUAUAUAUACGCAGUUCCGCAAACUACAAAUAGCCAUUCUUUUCUUCUGCAUAACUCUGUUGCUGGAAGGGGAUAGUAGGAGAAGAUUUAUAAUUACAAAUCAUGUUUCCUAGGGGUAUGUCCAAAAUACAACCUCAAAUAAGAUACAUGAGAAUGAUAGUUACUCUUCGUCCCAUUAUCCCAUUCGAGUGACAAAGUUACUUGGAAGGAUUAGUCAAUGGUGUAAGCCUAAUUUAUGGAGAAGAAGUGGAAUCCAAAGCCGAGUUUCGAAACUAAUAGGGAAGAACAAUUUUCCCGCAGGAAGUAGUAGCUAUUGAUAAACGAUAUUCGACAACACUACUAUAGUGUGAACAUGGAGAAGAUAUUUUUGGAGGUUGUGUGGAUAUAAGACGAGAUACUUGUCAACCGGAUGAAAAAGCGUAAAGGUGAUAUCUUUGUUUAAGGAAUCCGGUUAAGAUCUCCUAUGAUUACAGACAUAUUGAGUUACAAUACAAAACGAGUUAAUACGUAACAAUGUCUGAAACUUUUAACAACAACCUAACUACUUCCAUCCAUAAAUCAUAUCACCAGGAAUUUUUUUUGAAAUAUUUUACCUAACGGGUUAUAAUCGAAUUUGAUCAAUAAAUCUGCUGUAAACCGGAUAAUAGAAGUAACAGUGAAUAGCCCUAGAUAUUUUUCAACGAUGUGUGGAUAUCCGAACUUGGUGCACUGUUAGAGGCAAAUAUUUUGAUUAUUUUAUAAUGUUAAAGAGACAAAUGUGGCAGAAGCCUAGAAGUAGGUAGAUAAAGGGCAAGUAAUUAUAUGAUAUGACUAAUAAACAUAUUUUACAUAAACUUCUAUAUAUCAGCAGAUACAUAUCUGAACAUCGCUAUAAAUACAACUAAAAUCUGGGGACUCUAUUCACUAGGCUCUAAAGUUGAGAGACAAAGAAAAGACACACGGUGACGUCUAAGUUAAAAUUUUCUACUGUGAGAGAAUUAAAUUGCCAGUAAUUAUCAAGGUAAGUUAUUGUCCAACCCCAAUAUUGAAAACAAUUUAUAGCCUCGCUAGUGAAAUAACUGGUUACUGUCAAUUCAUAUAUUGAUGUGAACAGGAAAAGGAAGUUCCUUCUUCAAAUGGGCCAACUAGUUCGUUUAGUAUGCGGCCAAUGGACGAAAAACGAUGAAGGCGAUUGGAUAUUCAAAGAAGAUCCAAACGAAGUGGAACACUUCAUUGUUGCAUGUACAAACCAAAAAUUUGACGCAUUCCUUGCUCUUGUCCGUGAAGAACUUUUACUUCCAUCAACAAAACCGGUGGUGCUGACAUAUAGCUUACCCGACUCUAUGACGGAGAGACGAACCAUCAAAGAACCACCGCAUACAAUUCUCACCGAUGAAAACGUUGAAUUAUUAAUGAGCAUUCAAGAGUGGAAAAACGAAGGUUUCAUGUGUGUCACAGACGGACCACUGGGGGUGGCGAAAUACAAUUUUCUCUGCCGUUCCCCUUUCACUAUUGGCGAUAUCACAUACCUUGCUGAAGGAAUCACCGAGGAAGAGCACUUUUCAGUCAUAAACGAGGAGGUUGGGAUGACGAGAUUAAAUGUAAUGGGAGAGUGCUGCGUGAGCUCUUCACGGAGGAGAAGCUUGCGCUUCUUUACCGUUACUCUUUUGAAAUAGAGAAAGCCAAACAAACGACUCAGGUAAAUGUGAAACAAUCAAAACAUCUGUCAGAGGACCACCUGAGUAAUAUGAUUCGUGGGGUAGAUAUCAGCAAUAAUGAUGGAGAAGAAAUACAUAAAUCAAAAAGGUUCUUCAAUACGGAGAGACAAGGUAAAAGAAGAUAAAUAUAUAUUGAUGAAAGUUAGGAGUUGAAAAAUCUUAUUCUAUUUAUGGACAACCAGAUAUUAAAAUAUUCCAUAAAGAGAGGUCUAUUCCAUAUUUAACCGAGGCUAUGUUUAUAGGUUUCAGAACCAAACCUAUUCCGGCGAAGAGAGGUAAUGUUCAAGAAAGUUCACGGAGGGCAAGCUCUCUGGAACAGUAUAGUGAAGAUGUAAUGUUCUUCAGCCCAACGAUGGGAGAUAUGGUUGGUGACACUGACUAUUGGGAAACAUGUGGGAGUGGAAGCUGUGAUAACAUAAUAAACCUAUCAUCAGAACUACACUUUGAAGAUGAGCAAUCCCCAAUGUCUGAGAACGAAAUAGUUGACAUAGAUGGAUCAUCAACAGGUUAUACGGCCGCGGCUGAAUAUGUUAAUGCCGGUGAAAUACAUAACACUAGUAAGUAGUAGGCUUAAUACAGAACAACCAUAUCCGACAUCGCGCGAAGGGAAUUCAAACGAAGGUUAGUGAAAUUUGUGGUUCAAUACUAAAAUUUUGUACACCCUUGUUUACUGACAUAAAUAUGUGUAAGAUACAUAAAUGAGAACUGGGUAUAUUCCAACUGGGCUGGAGAACAGAGGAACAUUGCGUCGUCGAAAUGAAGAUGUUGGAAACCGAGUCCAGUACAUCAAUAUUGAAUCUGAUGCCGAUCCAUCAGACUCUUACUACGGAAUGAAUGCAGAUGGAGUAGUGGGCGACAGUUUCUUCGAAUCUCGUGACGGCAAGGGUUUGUAUUAGUUUAAGUGAACACUAUUUAGACUAUCAAUCAGGAACAUUAAUGUUUACAAAUAUUGUAAAAUGUAGCAUAAAUAAAUACUUGUUAAGUUAAUGUCGAACAUUUGAAAUCAACCUACUUAAUCGUUCUAUAAUUCCUAACUAUGAUACAUGUUAAACGAAAUGCAGGUUUACAACAACAUAACACUGAUGUAUAUGUUGGAAUGGUUUUUAAAAACAGAAACGAGUUUAAAAAGCAUAUGACAAUAUUUUUCAUCCGGAAUAAAUUUCGAUUUCAAACCACUCGAUCCGCCCCCGGAAGAAUGGUGCUCAGAUGUUUCUGCCAGAAUUGCAAGUGGCGAGUAUAUGCGGUAAUUCUAAAAAACACAGAGUUGUAUGAAGUGAGGAAAGUUGAUUUACAUCAUUCGUGUUCUGUCGAUGGUCGGGCUGGGUACCAAUCACAAGCAACACAUGCAGUAAUUGGUGGGAUGAUGAAAUCAAAGUUUGCAGGCAGAGGCGGAGGUCCCAAACCAACCGAAAUUAUGCAAGCAAUGAGAGGAGAGCACGAUGUUCCUAUUUCAUAUGGGAAAGCAUGGAGAUCAAGAGAAGUGGCGUUAGAUUAUGCAAAGGGUUCGGCCGGAGCUUCAUACAACCUUCUCCCUUCUUACUUAGAGAAGCUAGUCGCGGCAAAUCCUGGUACAAUUGCGGAGGUCCACACUGAAUCCACUGGGGGCAUUGACGACAGGUUCAAGUACAUGUUCUUAGCGUUAGCUGCAAGCAUCGCGGGUUUCAAAUAUAUGCGAAGAGUGAUUGUAGUUGAUGGUACACAUUUGAAGGGCAAAUACGCGGGGUGUUUGUUGACAGCAUCCGCUCAAGAUGGAAACUAUCAAGUGUUUCCAUUGGCUGUUGCGGUGGUAGAUGGGGAAAAUGAUAAAGCGUGGGAAUGGUUUUUUAAUAAGCUGACUCAGUUUAUUCCCAACGAAGAAGAUGUAGUUUUUGUGUCUGAUAGGCAUCCCUCUAUAUACUACGGACUCGCAAAGGUAAGAAUUUAAAGUAUAUGUUCAUUGUAAAUGAAAAUGUGACCAUAGAAGAAUAAUUGUACUUAAAAGCCACUUAUGUCGGACUAUAUUCUUUAUAACCGGAUUUAUAUAUAAAAUAAAGGAUUUUCAAUGACUUGGCAUACAAUUAUGGUUAUCUCUGCGACGGUGAAUUGUAAAUUAGUUAUUUUAGAGACCAAUUUCUUUUGAAAGUGUGUAUAUUCAGCUAAUUAAUCCAAUAUUUAACCCAUCAUUGUUACUUUUAGGUUUACCCGUGCAGUCGACAUUGUGCACGCAUUCUACAUUUGAAAAGAAACAUUCAAACCUAUUUCAAGGAUAAACACUUGGGUUUCCUCGUUGGGAAAGCUGCAAGGGCGUUUCGAGUGUGUGAAUUCUACUCUGCCUUCAAUGAGAUAGAACGAGUUAACGCCUCAUGUGCAGAAUAUCUGACGGGAAUAGGCUUCGAUCACUGGGCAAGAGCACACUUCAAAGGAGAUUGUUACACAUCAUGACAAGUAAUGUGGCGGAAACAUGGAAUGCAGUGUUGCGUGAAGCAAGGGAGUAUCCUAUCCUUCCACUCAUCGAAUACAUACGCUCGAAGGUUAUGACCUGGUUUUCUAUGAGAAGGCAACUACAAUGUAAAGGAGAUAACCAUCUCACCCCCCGAGUUUCGGAAAUUGUGCAAGCUAACUUUGAGAACUGUGGAAUGUAUGAAGUUAGCGUAAUUGCACGUGAUCAGUAUGAAGUGAAAUACAAACUGGGUUACAUAUUUCAUGUUAACCUAGCUUCACACACGUGUACUUGCAAUGAAUUUCAGUCACUGAAAAUUCCAUGCACGCAUGCGGUCGCAGCUGCAAUAAGGUACAAAGUAAGAGUCGAAAGUUUGGUUUCUGAAUGUUAUACAUUAACAACAUAUAGGGCUGCUUAUGCGGCUAUCAUAGCCCCAGCAGUGGAACACGAAAGUGUGCAAAUCCUAUCGAGUGAAGGCUCGUGUAGCCAAGUUAGCGUAAAUCCACCAGCAACCAUGAGGCCACCUGGAAGACGGAGGAAAAACCGAAUUUUAUCAAGAGGAGAAUUCCAGGUAAAUAUACUCGUCAUAGAAGGUUAAAUAACAGUAAUUUUUUUAAAUAAUAUUUGUAUACUAUGCAGAGGAGGGGAGCAAGGAAACGAACAUUGUGCAGUCGAUGCAAAUGCGCAGGGCAUAACCGAGCAACUUGCAAAACGACGAUAUGAAGUAGUAAAGUAUAUGAAGUUUGGAAAGAGUCAACCUCGGAUGAUGAAGGUGUAUGCAGGUUUGGAGAGAUGUCAAAUAAGAAAUAGUGUAAAAUAAGUUUAUGUAAAUUUAAUGAUAUGGGGAGGGGCCAGAUUAUCUUAAUUCCCGAGGGACUGUAAUAUAAAUAAACUCUUUCAGUUGAAAAAAAUGUGUCGGCGUUAAUACAUUAACAUAAUCACUUCGGUUCGCAGACAUAGCAUAAGUAAUAAUAAUACAAAGACUUGUGAUAUGAGGAUGCCGGGCUUAUAGAGCAAACAAGAUUCACCAAAGAACAAAAGGAAGAAAGAAGAACAACACUUUUCAAAUCUUUGAAAACAUGAAGGCAGAGACUGAAACCUAAAGUAAAUGGUCUUCAUGAUCCAAAGCUCAACCCAUUUGAAAGACACCUCCUAGUUCGGUUUUUCGGUUUCCUACAGGCUCAUGUAC